AGCUCCAUGAGUGUAUAUUAGAUUUGUUGUAGUUAAAAAGCUCGUAGUCGGAAAUAAGAAUAUUUCUUUGAUAAUAAAAGCGGAGAUUUUUAAAACAAAAUGUUUUUUAAUCUCACUUUUAAUUUCGAUAUUCUUUUAACGAAGAAUUAAGAGGGAUUUAUUCCUUUUAUUUCUUCUUUUUACUUUGAAAAAAUUAGAGUGUUCAAAGCAAGGCGAAUUAAUGCUUCGGCAAAGAUUCUUCUUUAAACCUUUUGAAUAGUCCAGCAUGGGAUAAUAAAACAAGACCUUUUUUUGAUUUUAUUGGUUUUUCAUUUCUUUUUAUUGGUAAUGAUUAAGAGGGACAGUUGGGGAUAUUUGUAUUUCACAGCUAGCGGUGAAAUGCUCGGAUUUGUGAAAGACA
rnacentral:rRNA from 1 species